UACGGAGGGUGCAAACGUUGCUCGGAAUCACCGGGCGUAAAGCGCACGUAGGCGGCCUUGUAAGUUGGAUGUGAAAGCCCUGGGCUCAACCCAGGAAGUGCAUCCAAAACUGCAUGGCUUGAGUACCGGAGGGGUUCAGAGAAUUCCCGGUGUAGAGGUGAAAUUCGUAGAUAUCGGGAGGAAUACCAGUGGCGAAGGCGCUGAACUGGACGGUAACUGACGCUGAGGUGCGAAAGCGUGGGUAGCAAACAGG
rnacentral:rRNA from 1 species